rnacentral:rRNA from 1 species
AUGGUGACAGACGGCGACAACGGCGGUCUAGGUUGGGUGGGUCAUGGCCGACCAGCAGCAGGCAGUCCAUGGCGGCGGCGGCCAGAUUUGCGCCGGGACAGCUGCGACUCAUCCUCAAGAUUCGGUUUGGUUUGCUUGCUUUUCCCACUGCCUGCAGUCCUGCUUUUCAUCCUCACGAUUGAAGAGGAGCAUGGAUUGCUUUCCUCUUCAGUCUCUUCUUCUUCCCUCCCAUUAUUCCUUCAACGAUGUUCCUCUUCGAUUUGUUUGUGCAGCAUCACUAACUCAACUCCAUGCAUAUGCAGAUGCAGGGGGAGGAGAGGACCGCUACUUUGA